rnacentral:rRNA from 2 species
UGGGGAAUAUUGGGCAAUGGAGGCAACUCUGACCCAGCAAUGCCGCGUGAGUGAAGAAGGUUUUCGGAUUGUAAAACUCUUUAAGUGUGGAAGAAGACAGUGACAGUACACACAGAAUAAGCAUCGGCUAACUACGUGCCAGCAGCCGCGGUAAUACGUAGGAUGCAAGCGUUAUCCGGAAUGACUGGGCGUAAAGGGUGCGUAGGCGGUUUGCCAAGUUGGUAGCGUAAUACCGGGGCUCAACUCCGGAACUACUACCAAAACUGGCAGGCUUGAGUGCGGCAGGGGUAAGUGGAAUUCCUAGUGUAGCGGUGGAAUGCGUAGAUAUUAGGAGGAACACCGGAGGCGAAAGCGACUUACUGGGCCGUAACUGACGCUGAGGCACGAAAGCGUGGGGAGCAAACAGG